UACGUAGGGGGCAAGCGUUGUCCGGAAUCAUUGGGCGUAAAGAGCGCGUAGGCGGCCCUGUAAGUCCGCUGUGAAAGUCAAGGGCUCAACCCUUGGAUGCCGGUGGAUACUGCAGGGCUAGAGUCCGGAAGAGGCGAGUGGAAUUCCUGGUGUAGCGGUGAAAUGCGCAGAUAUCAGGAGGAACACCAAUGGCGAAGGCAGCUCGCUGGAACGGUACUGACGCUGAGGCGCGAAAGCGUGGGGAGCGAACAGG
rnacentral:rRNA from 1 species